CACAUUUGACAAUUGACAAUGAUUAAGGCUUGAGGGAAGUACUUUGUUGCGUUGAAACUUGAAACCUUGAAGGAAGCAAAUUGAAGGUCGUCCCACGUACGAAAGAAUCAAUUCUGGCCGAUAUAAAAUGGGAAGUCUUGGCUAAAGGGCAUUUCAAUAGCCUUGAUGUAAUGUGUUUUGUGUUGCUGUUUUUAAGUUGUUGAGUACUUGAGUUGCUGUUUGCAGUAGGUGUUGAGUGUUCUAGUGCUUUGUUUUUCUGCAGAGACUUGGGCUCUUGGUUGUGUGUUGGUUUUUGGCCUGUUUGGCUUUGUUUUUGGCUCCUUUUUAUAGGUUGCAGUUUGUUUGUUGGUGACUUGGUGUUUAGGCUUGUAACUUGUUUGUGGCCUAAGGACUGGACCGACUGGUUGGUGUGUUUGAUUCACAGAUUCAGUUGUGGACUUGUGGUUAUGUUUCAUUUAGGUGUAGCCGUGUAGUUUCUUUUA